rnacentral:lncRNA from 1 species
UCCUAAACUUGCAGUCGCCUUUUUCUCUCCUCACGGCUUGACGCCGGCGAACUUGCUCGGCUGCCCCAAGUCCGCUCACCCACUUGCUCCCGAGUCAACUUGAGAGUCCCAGCAACUCCGCCUUGCGCUUUCGCUGCCCUAGCACCCAGCCAACCAUCCCCUACCUCCCUCAAAGCUCCGGCUGAGCCCUUCUUCCCCAACUCUGGUAGAAGCACCGCCGCCCGUGGCCAGAGCUCCUCCAACUUUCCCCGUAGCUGCCAAGUGGCUCAGCAGACUCGAAGUGAGCUUCUGAAUCUUUCCGUCGCUUUCGUUUUAUCUCUACUGCAUCAUGGUGGCCGGCCCAUCGCUGCGCCACCGUACCGUUGCUGCCUGUGCCGCUGCCCGCGCGGCCAGGCCACCUCGAGCCAUUGCGGGACAAGCUACGGCCACCAGCAGGUGCGCACUAGUCCGGGCAAGCUUCCCCGCUGCUCCAAUGCCGCCGACGAGCACUCCAACGCCGAAACCACGAUCUCCGGCGAGUUCCCCUGUUUCCAGUUCGCGACCAGAGACUUCGGGCGACAAUUUGAUGUUCUCCAAGGGUCUAAUUGCACAAACUGUGACUCAGGUGAAUAGUGCUAUAAGGACUUGUUUGUAGAUGUUUUGUUGAAUCUUUGAAAAUUCAUAUCUGGAGUUUGGUAACUCCAAUUUUGGUGAACCAAAUUUUGUUGUGCUCCUUGAGAUGUUUAGUUUUUAUUAAAAAUAUGAAACUGACCAUGUUUUGUAGUAAAAUAAUUGGUUAUGAUUUAUGCCUUUUAAUUAUGUUUAAAAAGGAGAAAUUCAUAUCUCAUUCUGUGUACCUCCUAUGGGCCUGAAAUUUUUAUGGUGUUCUCAUGAUGUUAUGUGAGUGUUGCAGUAAAAAUUUCAUGUUUAGUGGAUGAUAUAUGGUUAAGUUAUUAUUUUAUCUUCUUUAGUGCUUAUUAAAUUGUCUAUAAUUAAAAUAAAAAUUUAUAAAUAUAAAAUAUAGUUCCUGUACCUUUAUAUGAGGUCUUUAUAUGAUACAGAUACAUAAUUUAGCUAUGUGUUUGUAGAAAAUGUCGAGUUUCUUAUUUAUGUUGCUGUUUCAUGCUUUCUUGUGAUGGAAAUUUAUCUUUUUCAUGGAAAUUGCUAUACUUAUCCAAAUGGCAUGAAAUUUAUACAGUAGACUUUGGAGAACAUAUAUGAGCUGCUGUAGUUUUCUCAGAAUUUACUGUGUAAUUUUGAUACAUGGUUAUUACUUUGUCUAUUUACCUAAAUAAAUUAAUUAGCUUAUUUUCUCAAAUUAGGGUUUGAGUGCUUUUGGGAUUGUAUGAUGACCUAAGGUCAUUAACCUUAAUGACCUUUGACACUUCAUUAUUGUUUGAUGUUAAUACUUAAUUACUGCCAUUAAUAUUUAAUUAAGAAUUGAUUAAGAUAAAUAGAAAACCUAAUCAUUUUAGGUUUUGAUUGAUCUUUGGGAUUGAUUGACAACCAGUGGUUACUUGGCAUGAUAUGCUCCCUGGUUAUGGAUUAUUUCAUAUAAAUGAUCUUUGUUGCCUGAUAUCUAUACAACUUUGCUUCAUGAAAAUGAUAAAAUUUGUUUAGUAGUAAUCUAUGUUUUGAUAACUAAGUUAGUUUGUUUCUAUACCGUGAAGGUAAGUUGUACUCGAGGUAGUUAUGUUUGUUGUUAUCAUCCAAGAACAUGUAACCUGUCUCUAUCAUGUCAUGAGUAUCUCAUUGAUCAUGCAUAUGCAUUUCUACGUGUAGACUACGCUCCGGAGGAAUCUGAUCCUCAGUGGGUUGCUUCUGAGUUUGUGGAUCCAGCUGGUUUUCCUGGUCUUUCUGAGUUGUCGGACUUCCCUUCCCACCAAGGCAAGCCCCGGACAUUAAACCCUAUCCUUGUAUUUUCAUAAAGUUAUUUAUAUCACUUGAGUUAAUAUGAUGCAUUAGGUGAAUAGGAGUUGAGUGAAUCCUAUUUGCUGCAUUACCUACCUUGGUGAUUCUUAUAUUAACCUUGAUACCUGUUUAUGAAAAUGCUUAGUAUGCUUAGUCCUGCUUAUUAGAUAGGUUUUCAAAUGAGAAAGUUUGAAGGGUUGUUGUGGAAUACUUUUAUGGUCAAUGAUGUUUCAACUCGAGACCGGUCGGUGGACUUGCUUUAAGAAUGGAGUCUUAAAGUAGUGUCUCCAACUGUGUCGAUUAAGGACCGUUCCGUUGGUGGCCUGCUGUGAUUGAGACCUUUGAGUACAGCCCACAUGCGAUGGUAAGCCUUACCUAUAGCUAUUCCGAUACUUGAGAACGGCUAACCGCGUACUGGGAGUGGAGAGAUGGCGAGAGUAGCGUGUACCCACCUUACGGAUUUGAGAUGACCGGGAAACAUCUAGAUUGGCUGUAGGAUGGUGGUGUACUGUACUCUCGGAUAACGCUGGACCCGUUCUUGUAUGGGAGGGUCUAUAGAAAAGGUUGACAUAUGCAAGGUUAAGUUCUACAUAUGUCGUGUGGUACUGAAUCCCCAGCUGGGUUUAAUCGAUUCGAAUCGCCGUGUUUCCUCGGAUAUGGAGCCUCAAUCCUCACCCCAUCAUCGUAGUAAUAAAUGGAUCUUUGGUAUAAGAAAGAGGUGGUAUGCUUAUGAAAGUUUGAUAAUAAUUUUGGUUAGUCAUAAAUGAUAAUCUUGAGUUAAAACUUGAAAGUAGGUUUUACUCUUAGUAAGCUUUUAUGCAAAAGAAAUGCUUUGAUCUUGCUAAAGCCUUACCUUAAAUCCCUAUAGCCUGCAUACCUGAGUCUUCACCUCUUUUCUAGUCGGUUAAGUCUUGUUGAGUACUUUUGUACUCAGGGUUUUAUAACCCCUGUUGCAGGUGCUGACUUAGACUGCUAAUGGAGGUCAUGUCGGUGGGCGCGACAUGAUUUAUCCACCUCUUCUACCUUAGAAGCUUCACCUAAAUUGCUUCCGCUACUCUACACACCUUUUGGAAAUUUAGUUAAGUUUGUACUUCAUCAUAUGUUGUAAAUUAAGUUAUAAAUCUUCCGCACUCUGAUGUAAGUUAUUUUUGUAACAAAUGUUGUAAUGUUGUGGUAACUCCAUGUUAAUCCUGUAUGAGUUAAAAUGUGGAAGAUUCGGGGUCCUCCGAGGGCACCCGACAGACUUCUUGAGUCAUUUGGAACUCGUGCACGCCGAUCGGAAGUCUUUGAGACAAUGAUGGGUGCAUGUGGGCCAAUUAAUUCAGGAGGUUCUGCCACAGAGUGGUAUCAGAGCUCAUACAUGGAUCUUCUGCAACAUUACUUGUGAAAAACUUGAAAAGGAAUUUACAAAUUAAAAGUUUUGUGGAUAACCACUUAUAAAUAUUCCUUAACUUUUCUUAUGCUUGCUGUCCAAGUUCUACGAAGACUUUCUGUCGACUCAAAUAGAAGGCAUUGAAAUGGACUUCAAUUUUUCUUCAACAAGCCGAGUGAAGAAUCAAACUACUCCAACAAUGCUUUGUCAAAAGUCUUGCAACAUUCCAUCCAGAGCGAUAAAUAUAAUGUAUAAAGUAUGCCCUAUAUAAGUAGUUACCUCCUAGCUAACGUUGUAAAGACGUAUAGGACGAGCAUAUUGCAUAUCAUGCAUAACAUGACAAUAUAAUGAUACUUAAAAGCCCCUCCUUAUGCUUCAAAAAUAGUUAUUAUUCAUUAUAGCUGUUUUAUUGAUGAAUCUCAUCAUGUACCAGGUUUCGUUAACCGAUUGAUAAUCUUUUACUCCAUAAGAUCCUAAUCUUUGAUUCAUUUGUUAUGCAUGUGACGUUCCUUGAUUUCAUCUAAUUCGUACACAUGCUACCUCCUUGAUAUCAUUUGACAACAUAUAUGUUGAUUGAAUGUCACUAUGAUUGUGUCCUCUUAAGGUACCAUGACCCAUGACUUAGGUAACAGCGCCGAAACCUGGGGUCUCCUAUGGCUCGCCACCAUAAGGAAAUACUGUCGGGCGCUCGCUGUUAUCAAAGUCUAUGAUCAUGAUCUCUUAUAGCCCCACGAUUAAGGUGACCUCACUCUUUGAACCAUAUUAUGGGAAUCCAUGCCCAUAUCUCUUUGGAAUUACCUAAAACCCUUGACUUUAAAUACCAACAUAGGUUGAUUGAAAGCUAUUGUAACCGUACUCUAUAGUAGGUACCAUGAUCCGUGAUCACGUUAUAGCGUCGAACCUUGUAGUCUCCUGUGGACUGCAGCCAUAAGGAAAUACUACAGGGUGCUCGUUAAACAUCGGGAUCUCUGGUCAUGCUCCACUAUAGUCUACUGUUAGUGUGCUUUCAUUCUCCUUGGAAGCUCAUUUGGAGAUUCAUAUCUUCUUAUGAAUUCUCUAAAAAUUUCUUAUUGAUUACAACAUUCUGUUGAUGCUAGUUGUAAUUCUUAGACCAAUUGUAAUUGUUUUAUGAACUUCUCAAAAGUUAAUGUGCUUGACACAUUUCCUUUUCCAUUACUUAACCCCAUGGGUUUUAGUACCCUGGAAAUCUCGGGGACGAGAUUUCUUUAAGGGGGAAGGGCUGUAACAUCCCUGAUGUUACGAACACUAAAACUGGAUCAUGUCAUCAUAAGCAUUGCAAAGCAUAUUUGUUAAGCACAUCAUGAUGCAUCAACUUAAAAUAAGUUUAAUUUGGUUGAUUGUGCUUAGGGAAUUAAAGUAUGUUUAUCUUGUGAAGUGAUGCUUGUGAUGGUUGUUUAAUCCCUAGUUAAGGAGAGUGGUAAGGAAAUAGCUAAGGAAAAACCCUAAUUUUAACCCUAGUUUUUACCCCUUUUUGUGUAACUUAAAAACUAAGCAAAACUUGGGGAUGAGUUAAAAAGCAAAGUUGUAGAUCAUGUCAAGAUGUACAACUUUUCUGUUUUGAGUUUUUGAAGUUUCAACACAAAAUUUAAAGUAAUUUUGAAAAUACAGAUUUCCAGAAAUUGUCCCCUUUUCCAAUUUGAAUCCCCAAUUCAAAAUCUGUUUGGACUCUUGAAAAGUGGCCAACAUGAAAGUUGUAGAGCUCCUCAAUUUGGACAACUUUUAUUUGGGGAAUUUUUCAAGUUAUUCAGAAAAAUCAAAAGUAAUUUUGGAAUUUCUAUUCUGCCCCAAUUCAAAUUGGAAUUUUUCCCCAAAUUGGAAUUUGAAAUUCAAACUGUUUUGAUCAAAUUUAUCACUUUCCUUUCAAAAUCUGAUUUUGAGCCUAAAAGGAAUGUUUUAGUAAAUUUUGUGCUGCACAUUUCCUGUUUUGGUAGAAUUCUAAGUUUUUACACAAAAUAAAAAGUAAUUUGGUAAAUAAGGAAGAGGGGGAUAAGAACACGCAACAGUGCUUUGGGAACAGAGCACCGCGACCCUGCCCAGCACCCCUGCUCCCCCACGUUGCCAUGGGCAUGGCUGGCACGCAGUUGCUUGCCUGGUUGAUGUCACCAUGAGAUGGACGAGUCGAAGGCGUCCUCAUCCAGUCCUGUCCACCGUCCUAAACUUGCAGUCGCCUUUUUCUCUGCUCACGGCUUGACGCCGGCGAACUUGCUCAGCUGCCCCAAGUCCGCUCACCCACUUGCUCCCGAGUCAAGUUGAGAGUCCCAGCAACUCCGCCUUGCGCUUUCGCUGCCCUAGCACCCAGCCAACCAUCCCCUAUCUCCCUCAAAGCUCCGGCUGAGCCCUUCUUCCCCAACUCUGGUAGAAGCACCGCCGCCCGUGGCCAGAGCUCCUCCAACUUUCCCCGUAGCUGCCAAGUGGCUCAACAGACUUGAAGUGAGCUUCUGAAUCUUUCCGUCGCUUUCAUUUUAUCUCUACUGCAUCAUGGUGGCCGGCCCAUCGCUGCGCCACCGUACCGUUGCUGCCGGUGCCGCUGCCCGCGCGGCCAGGCCACCUUGAGCCAUUGCGUGACAAGCUACGGCCACCAGCAGGUGCGCACUAGUCCGGGCAAGCUUCCCCGCUGCUCCAAUGCCGCCGACGAGCACUCCAA